CAGGUGCCGGAAUGAAUCCCGAUCAAUUAUCUUGACAGGUAGCUUACAAUCUUGAUCAAUGCAACGUAACUUUUCUUAAGCUUGGGAGACGUUCCUUCUCACAGUCAAGGUAUAAUUUUCAAGUUUAAAUACACGUUUUUAAAACGUGUAGCAUAGGUUUACUUCAAACUAAGAUUAUCAUUAAAAUCAUAGUUACGGAGCCCCUCUGAUGACAUUGGUGAGAGAAUAAUAUUGCAACGUCGAACGGAACGAAUUGCAAAAUCAAUUUUUUGGCUUCGAGCUUAUUAUUAAUGGCACAACUGCCUAGACUGAUUCAGAAGGGCAGGAAUGUCAGACAUAAAUAAGUUACUGACGAUGUACUGAUGCAUAACUAACACAGGGGCUAGCACUGGCAUUUAUAACAUGAUACACAGACUAAAAUGAUAACAGUAAUGCAUGCUAACAUUAGCAGGAAAAGGAGACACAGCAAUAUCCUAAAGCCAGACACUUAAACACAGCAUUAGACCGGUGACGGGUGGAGCACCAAGACCUGCAGGAUGUUGUGAUGGCCCCCAGGAGUCUGCCACCAUCGAUACAGGAGCCCAUCCUGGUUGGUGAGGCAGGGCCACUGCGAAUAGAGAGCCUUGGUCAGGAUACAGUGCUGAGACGACAGCCCAGGGUCACUGCCUGCCGCUGCUGGGGUGGAGAGCCACAAAGCUACCACCACUGGAGUUGCCGCGUCCCGGUCGGUGCUGCGCUGACAAAGCCGGCACCUGUCCUCCAGAUAAUCUGCAUUGGCGUCCCAAAGGCGUCACCGGGGCGAGUAGCGUUGAUGGAGAGUGACGGUAAGGCUUCUCUGGAAGUGGCCAGCAGCGUGGCGCACCACGGCUUCAGUGCCCAGAAUUAGCCUGGCUCCCCACGCAUCCACUGUGGCCCCCCCACAGAUUCAGCCCAAUGAUGCAUGUCCUGGAUGUUGGGCAGCCAGAACGGGUGGUGGUUCCUGCAGUGACUUCUUCCCUUGCAUCUGUGCUCGCUCUCCUAUGACCGUGGCUACACAGAUCGCGGUUGUAUUCCAGCCCUGUGGUCUGGGCUCACGUGUUCUGGGCAGUGUUUUCCGGGGCGGACCAUGGAGAUGGUGGACACCGUGUCCACCAGAUCCCGGUAGGAGGUGCCUUCCAGGUCACAGUCAACACAAAGUGCACGUGCUCGACCAAGCCAGCUGAGCCUCUGCUAUGUGCUUAUCAGUGGCUGGAGUGCUGGUGCUAGGCAAUGGCUUGCGACAUGCCCUGGUUCUCUGCAGCACCCUUUAGAUUGCUCUGCCGCUCUUCGUGGUCCCUGCCUCGGUCACUGGGGAACUGUAGCAUUGGCUUGUCCCGGGUGUCAUCUUCGAAGACCUGCUGGCCAGCUGGGCCACUCUACCAGCUGAAGAUCUGUAAGGACUUGCAGCGCUUUGCCCUUCAGAGCGAGAGCUACCUGGACGCCUGUUUCCUCUGCCGACCAGGUGAUUUAAUCUGUGAGUCUUGCAGAUAAAACAAGACUUGACAGGUACAGUCCUGGUCCAAGACACAGAGUGCAGAGGAAGAGCCAGAGGAAGAACAACAGAGAGAGGAGAGAGUGUUUAACACUGGCGAAAUCCAUUGAUCGUCACAACUCUUCCUAAACGGUAGGCUACUGGAGAAGGCUGUGACACAAUAAGAAAAGUUGAAUCUCUAUCAUCCCCUGGACACCAAGGUGAAUUUGCCAACGCUGGCUGCGGCGUCCCCUUGACUUGACUGGAACUCUUUGGAAGAGCAACAUUGCCAUCUAACACUCUGAGGUCGGUGAAACCCGCAAUGAGCUUCAUGUAAAAGCACAAACGAACGGUCCAGCCGAGAUCCAUGCAGUGACAGUUGGAGAUGAAAUAGAAAUUUCUAUAUCAAACACCUACACAAAGGAGUGAUGACCUUUGAUCAAACGGGCGUUUGAUGUUUUGACAUGGAAAUUUGCAUCCGGGCAGCCCCUGACGCGGACAGCACGGCACAGGGGCUAAUGACUCUGCCCCUGCCAGAGAUGCGGAGAGGUCAGGAUCCUUUUAGGAAAUAACAGUCACUUUCAUCCCACGGCAUCGGUAGGAUCAGCAUCUUGUUUGAAGUGAAAUCAGACAAAAACACAUGCUCUUUAACUAAUUACCAGCAUCUCCACGGUGAUAGUGCCACUGAGACUCUCCACUGCGAUCUCAUUUGGAUGAAAGACAGCAAUGAUCAACCUCAAAGGAGUGCGAGCAGCGGAAUGUUCAAGAAGGUUGUAAGGAAUGCGUUUUCUUUUUCUUUUGUGAUGUGCUUUACAAUUGAGAAUAAAGUAAAAUCAGUGCA